rnacentral:rRNA from 1 species
AGAGUUUGAUCCUGGCUCAGGACGAACGCUGGCGGCGUGCCUAAUACAUGCAAGUAGAACGCUGAAGAGAGGAGCUUGCUCUUCUUGGAUGAGUUGCGAACGGGUGAGUAACGCGUAGGUAACCUGCCUUGUAGCGGGGGAUAACUAUUGGAAACGAUAGCUAAUACCGCAUAACAAUGGAUGACCCAUGUCAUUUAUUUGAAAGGGGCAAAUGCUCCACUACAAGAUGGACCUGCGUUGUAUUAGCUAGUAGGUGAGGUAACGGCUCACCUAGGCGACGAUACAUAGCCGACCUGAGAGGGUGAUCGGCCACACUGGGACUGAGACACGGCCCAGACUCCUACGGGAGGCAGCAGUAGGGAAUCUUCGGCAAUGGGGGCAACCCUGACCGAGCAACGCCGCGUGAGUGAAGAAGGUUUUCGGAUCGUAAAGCUCUGUUGUAAGUCAAGAACGAGUGUGAGAGUGGAAAGUUCACACUGUGACGGUAGCUUACCAGAAAGGGACGGCUAACUACGUGCCAGCAGCCGCGGUAAUACGUAGGUCCCGAGCGUUGUCCGGAUUUAUUGGGCGUAAAGCGAGCGCAGGCGGUUUGAUAAGUCUGAAGUUAAAGGCUGUGGCUCAACCAUAGUUCGCUUUGGAAACUGUCAAACUUGAGUGCAGAAGGGGAGAGUGGAAUUCCAUGUGUAGCGGUGAAAUGCGUAGAUAUAUGGAGGAACACCGGUGGCGAAAGCGGCUCUCUGGUCUGUAACUGACGCUGAGGCUCGAAAGCGUGGGGAGCGAACAGGAUUAGAUACCCUGGUAGUCCACGCCGUAAACGAUGAGUGCUAGGUGUUGGAUCCUUUCCGGGAUUCAGUGCCGCAGCUAACGCAUUAAGCACUCCGCCUGAGGAGUACGACCGCAAGGUUGAAACUCAAAGGAAUUGACGGGGGCCCGCACAAGCGGUGGAGCAUGUGGUUUAAUUCGAAGCAACGCGAAGAACCUUACCAGGUCUUGACAUCCCGAUGCUAUUUCUAGAGAUAGAAAGUUACUUCGGUACAUCGGUGACAGGUGGUGCAUGGUUGUCGUCAGCUCGUGUCGUGAGAUGUUGGGUUAAGUCCCGCAACGAGCGCAACCCCUAUUGUUAGUUGCCAUCAUUCAGUUGGGCACUCUAGCGAGACUGCCGGUAAUAAACCGGAGGAAGGUGGGGAUGACGUCAAAUCAUCAUGCCCCUUAUGACCUGGGCUACACACGUGCUACAAUGGUUGGUACAACGAGUUGCGAGUCGGUGACGGCAAGCUAAUCUCUUAAAGCCAAUCUCAGUUCGGAUUGUAGGCUGCAACUCGCCUACAUGAAGUCGGAAUCGCUAGUAAUCGCGGAUCAGCACGCCGCGGUGAAUACGUUCCCGGGCCUUGUACACACCGCCCGUCACACCACGAGAGUUUGUAACACCCGAAGUCGGUGAGGUAACCUUUUGGAGCCAGCCGCCUAAGGUGGGAUAGAUGAUUGGGGUGAAGUCGUAACAAGGUA